rnacentral:lncRNA from 1 species
UGUGGGCCAAACAUUCUGUUGGACUUAAAUGCCAGCACUAUCUAACCCAGCCCCCUCAAAAGAACCACAUGCAGCUGGCCUGUUCACGAACCACUGAGGGUGGGGCUCCUGUGUCCUUCCUGGUCUGAACUCAUUGCUGCUAAACUUCUCAGGGGUUGUCUUACAGGUGUCUCCAUUCCAGGUCUUGGAGAGACUGUGAUAUGCUGCCAGCUUUGACUCUACCAUCCUCCUCCCAGAAACUGAGAUGUUUAUAUGAAAUCCUAAUAAUCAAUUAUAACCACUCGAAAAACGAAACACUGUGGGGAUCAAGCAAACAUCCCUGUUGCCUGGCUCCGGACUUCAGGCCACUAGAUCAAAAAUGUCUACAUUGAACUCUGCCCUUAGAUGGUAAAACAGACCAGCUACCAUGAAAUGAGAAGCACUCCUCCACCAGGCCUCCCUGC